rnacentral:lncRNA from 1 species
UCCCAUCAGUUAUAUAUACUUUUCACUAAAGAGAUAAAAAUGAGAAACCAAACAAAAUUUAGGGCAGAAACUGUACAAAUGAAAUGAAAUUGCAACCAACUGAUAAAGGGGAAAAAAUCGGCGUUAAGAGUGUGAGAACUUACCAUUGAUUCGAGGUUUUGUCAGAACGAGGAUUUACUUCUCCGAAGAAUGAAAAUUUACUUGAAAUGCUUGUUUCAGUUGGCGACCUCGCAGCUCGAUUUGAUUAUUUAGUGCAAUCGGAGAUUCGCUAGACUUCGAUCUAGGCUGUUACACUCCCACUUUUUAAUUCAAAACUGAAAAGUACUCUUUUGGCCCCUACCGGAAUCAACAUAAACCAGGGAGAUUGACGAACCCGUUUGUGAAAAAUGAGUAACGGUAACAUGUGAUGAUUGCCUUUGUUUAAUGUUCUUACGGUCUUAGCCGUCCGUUUCAUAUACCAUUUCUCAUGAUAGUUCGUCGUUAAUUAAUAUAGGAUAUGGUGUUAGAAUGAUAAA